GCGCCGGCUCCUCCUCUGCGGGGAAAAAUGGUGAAGUCCACCUGCCCAGAGCAGGGACCGCCCUCACGGAGUCGAGCCAUGGACCAGGAGGGAGGCGCAGAGCGUGCAGCCCAGUGAUGUGACCCAGGAUACAGCUGUUGUCUGCCUCACUCAGAGCUGUGACACAGCCAAGCCCUCUGAUACAUCUUCCAGAAAAACAUGUGACAACCACAAGACCACCUUUUCAUCAGGAGUAGCAGAAGUCUUGGUUGUAUACCAAUGAACUUAAAAUGCCAAAACCCAGAUGGAAAAGCUCCUUUCAGGCAUACAGCCACAGUAACCCUGGUUCCAGCAGGGAAAAUUUUUCUACACCCACAGGAGCAUGACAGAGAUUUGUUCAACCAAAGAACAUGAACAAAAGAGCAGAUGAACAUCUCCAGGCUUACCCAAUGGAAAUUACCAUCUUCAACACAGAAAAACAAAUGAAUAACAAACUAGAAGCUCCAGUAACAGUAGGCUUUGUCAUAGCAUCUGCAUUCCCAGCAUGAAAAGUAGCUCUGGCCACACUGGAAGUACAAGAGCAUCUUUUGGCCUCAGGUCACAGACACUCGGAGCUGCAUCCUGGAGAACUCCUUUUGCAGCUUAAUUUAGAGAACAACAGUAAUUCGGGGAUUUUUUUUUUUUUUUUGUGUUUGUUGGUUUUUGUUUGUUU